CACCACUCAAGCAUUGCUUGGUAUUGGGCUCACCGUCCCCGCCAGUCGGGGGCGUGCCUCAAACACCUCGGCGGAGCCUCACCGGCUUUGGGCGUAGUAGAUUUUCUAAACGUCCUUUAACGGAGAGUGCUUCUUUGCCGAUUGAAGACUUACACUUCUUAA
rnacentral:misc_RNA from 1 species